rnacentral:rRNA from 1 species
GGAUCGUAAAGCUCUGUCGGGUGGGAGAAUGUACAGGGGUAAUAGCCUUUGUACUUGACGGUACCGCAAAGGAAGCACCGGCUAACUCCGUGCCAGCAGCCGCGGUAAUACGGGGGGUGCAAGCGUUGUUCGGAAUCAUUGGGCGUAAAGAGCGUGUAGGCGGCUGAGCAAGUCAGAUGUGAAAUCCCUGGGCUUAACCCAGGAAGUGCAUUUGAWACUGCUCAGCUUGAGUAAGGAAGAGGGAAGUGGAAUUCCUGGUGUAGAGGUGAAAUUCGUAGAUAUCAGGAGGAACACCGGUGGCGAAGGCGACUUCCUGGUCCUAUACUGACGCUGAGACGCGAGANUGGGGAGCAACAGGAUUAGAUACCCUGGUAGUCCACGCGUAAACGAUGUCACUAGGUGUUGAAGG